CAUGAAGAGGGCGCUGCUGACGCAAGACAUGGUGCUCCACCUCCCUUUCCUCCAAGAGAUAUUAGUCAAAGACUGCAAGGGCAUAGAGGUGAUAAUGGGCACUGUUGCCAAAAUGACGGACUUUUCCUUCCUGAAGUUAAUGAGCCUUGGUCUAUGUAAUCUUCCGGAGCUGAAGAGCAUAUGCGAUGGGACCACGAGAUGCAAUUCCCUCCAGUUGAUAUCUAUUCGCAAUUGUCCAAAACUGAAGGGGAUUCCUCUGCAGCUGCCUGUGCUUGACAAUGGGCUCCCUUCUCCUCCCCCUUCUCUUCAAGAUAUUAGUCAAAGACUGCAAGGGCAUAGAGGUGAUAAUGGGCACUGUUGCCAAAAUGACGCAUUUUUCCUUCCUGAAGUUAAUGAACCUUGGUCUAUGUAAUCUUCCGGAGCUGAAGAGCAUAUGCGAUGGGACCACGAGAUGCAAUUCCCUCCAGUUGAUAUCUAUUCGCAAUUGUCCAAAACUGAAGGGGAUUCCUCUGCAGCUGCCUGUGCUUGACAAUGGGCUCCCUUCUCCUCCCCCUUCUCUUCAAGAUAUUAGUCAAAGACUGCAAGGGCAUAGAGGUGAUAAUGGGCACUGUUGCCAAAAUGACGCAUUUUUCCUUCCUGAAGUUAAUGAAC
rnacentral:lncRNA from 1 species